AUUGAACGCUGGCGGCAGGCUUAACACAUGCAAGUCGAACGAGUGGCGGACGGGUGAGUAAUGCUUGGGAAUCUAGCUUAUGGAGGGGGAUAACUACGGGAAACUGUAGCUAAUACCGCGUACCAUAGGAUGAGCCCACGUGGGAUUAGGUAGUUGGUGAGGUAAAGGCUCACCAAGCCGACGAUCUCUAGCUGGUCUGAGAGGAUGACCGACCACACUGGGACUGGGUAACGGCCCAGGCUCCUACGGGAGGCAGCAGUAGGGAAGUUUGCGCAAUGGGGGCAACCUGACGCAGCCAUGCCGAGUGAAUGAUGACGGCCUUCGGGUUGUAAAGCUCUGUUAAUCGGGAGACGGUACCGGAAUAGAAAGCCACGGCUAACUACGUGCCAGCAGCCGCGGUAAUUC
rnacentral:rRNA from 1 species